UUUUAAAACGCCCACUUUUCAUUUUUAUUUUCCGGUUUUUUUUUCAUAACUGAACGCCACCAUAAAAUUGACAAUUACGAAGACAUCUGACAACUGUCAUUUUAUUGGUCAUCAAUCAAAGAAAAUCAUACAAAACAAAGAAAAAAAAAUCAAAAGAUCAUUCCUUUCGUAUUAAAAUAAUUAAAUAACAAGCAAAAUGUAUUUCAAACUGUGUGUAUUUCUUUUCACAUUACUUACUGUGACUAAUGUCGAGGCAUCGCAGGGCUACGACUUUGGCGACUUUCUUGCUACCGUCUUGGGAAUCGGAAUAGCAGCUAUAGGAAUUCUCGCAUGUUUGGGCAAUUACGCGCGACAGAAAGCGAGAAACGAGUUCAUAUAACGCAAUCAUGUAGCCACGCAAACACCUGAGAGCACCAAAUAUCCAUUAUUCAUAAGAAAAAUUUUGUUAACGUUAUUUCACUUGAAUACAUAAAGGUUGUAACAAG